AGGUGCGAUCAUACCAGCACUAAUUUACCGGAUCCCAUCAGAUCUCCGCAGUUAAGCGCACUUGGCCUAGAGUAGUACUACGAUGGAUGACCUCCUAGGAAGUCCUUGUGUUGCACCUC
rfam:Lupinus angustifolius cultivar Tanjil contig_48380, whole genome shotgun sequence.